ACAGACAGGAACCCUAACCACUCCUCUAUUGGGGGUGUCUUUAUAAUCGCCUAUAAUUUCCACCUGUUGUUUAUUCCAUUUGCACAAC